UACGUAGGGUGCAAGCGUUGUCCGAAAUUAUUGGGCGUAAAGAGCUCGUAGGCGGUCUGUCGCGUCGGCUGUGAAAACUCGGGGCUCAACCCCGAGCCUGCAGUCGAUACGGGCAGACUAGAGUCCGGCAGGGGAGACUGGAAUUCCUGGUGUAGCGGUGAAAUGCGCAGAUAUCAGGAGGAACACCGGUGGCGAAGGCGGGUCUCUGGGCCGGAACUGACGCUGAGGAGCGAAAGCGUGGGGAGCGAACAGG
rnacentral:rRNA from 1 species